rnacentral:lncRNA from 1 species
CUGGAUUCCUGCAUUUUAUUUCUUCUGCUGUAGUUGAUAUUUUACUUCUUUCCUUUUCUCAUUUUUUUCAUUUUGCUACCCUUACAUCUCUGUAUCAUGCUCUAGUAAGUGGAUUGAGGUAGACAUUACGCUGAAGAAAUCCCAACAGGAACAUCAGGUAGCAGCACAGCUUUCAUUUGUUGCUUUUUUCAGCAGACACCACCACCUCUGCUUUGCUAAUUUUGACAGAGAAUAUUUCAGAAAAAAUUACUGAAAGGUAUCUGAUCUCAUAUUGGUCAGCGUCUCCUUGGAUGAUACCAUGCCAAGAUACUGUGUUUGUCUUAUACAAAUUAAGGGAACGACUUUGUGGAGAAAGAAAUGGAAGAACAGUAAACCUCUCAGAGGAACUGAAACACAAGAUAUACAAUGGGUACUAUCUGGAGUCAAACUUGUUCGAAAAGACGGCCUAGGCACACCUGCUCUGAAGAUCUCACUAGUGUGGCUGAAGGAGCUGCCUUCCCUCCUACUCAUCAGUGCUCCUCUGAUGGACAUUACCAUCCAUGCACAUCUGAGAUACCUUAACUGGUGACACAGCUGCAGCGGGGCCUCACUUCCGUCAUGUUUUGGGCAGCAAGCAUGCACACCUAAUCAGCACAGGCAACGUGGGCCCACUAGACAGAGCUAAGAAAAAUGUGGGAGCGCCUUUACACAGUCCAGAUGUUGGGCUGGAAGAAUAAGCUCCUGAAGCUCUUAUGUUAAGCCCAGGCGAGAUUAGGUGGGUAAAUCCCAACCUUGAUCUGUUUCAGUGCAAAACCAGAUGAACUUAAACAUUUUGAAAAGUUAAUUAAAAGCCAUGAAAGGUCUUCUGCAUUUGAAUCUUAACAAGUUGAGAGAUAUGACCGUGCUCUUUAGAUAAAUGUGGAGGGGCCAAUACAAAACACUUUUUAGAAAUCCUGAAUCAAGCCUUUGAUCAGACAGGACAAACCUCACAGACCAGUCCUAAUUCACCUCUCUUUCCAUGUAUUACCUUCCAUUUUCAAGAAUGCUAUCUAAUGCUCAGCAUAGAAGAAGAAUGGGAGACACAUGCUGUGGCAAAUUAGAAUAAAGUUUAUGACCAAUAAAAUUCA